UUUCUUGAACUUCGCAAAUAUUACAAUUGUUUAAAAGGAGAUUUUUUACCAUAAAAUGUUAUUUAUUUAGGAUAUUACCCUAUAAUGUAACCUCUAAAAAUAUGAUGAAUGGCAUUUAUUCACCUUUAGUGUUUUGAGAUUUAUUUUAGAUACCGUUCUUAAAACUCAUCCUGUAACUAACUAAACGUUUUCUAAAUGCACUUUUUAUUAAAAUAUACUCAAUUUUAAACUUGUGCAUUUCUUAUGAAACUUCCGUUUCUUUUUAAAUGAAAAAAAAAUUUCGAUAUUAAAAACAUGACCGAAUGAAAUUGCAACUGGAGUCAUUAUUAUCCAAUUAUUCUGUCCAACGGCGAAGAAGAUGACCACGUUGAGUGAGAAAAGGGUUCUAUCUACAGUUCGAAACCUGGAGCUCACCGGUAUAUAGCUGGUAUCAGAUUGCAGAGGAUCAAGUGACCACUGGUCCGAGAAAGCUCUACAUCCUGUUUGUUAGUGACUCCAUGAAACGGUUUUGAAUGACAAUCCUGCAUCAUUAAGAGCUGAAAAAAAAACUACCCUGGUUUCCGAUCACAGAAGAAAAUCUUUCCAAUAUAAUUCAUUGCAUGUGAACCUGAUUUUGUUAAACACUGGAGCACUGGAAGCCUAAACAACAGGAGCUGUGGUUAUUACCAGUGAUCACCUGCAAGGAAUUCAGAGAUAACUUGUAAAGAAAUGUCGCUCCUCCGAAGGUUAAUUUAGAUUCAAAAUUAAUUAUUCAUACUAUUUUAACAAAAUGAAAAGAUAAAAGUAAAAAGAAGAAAGGUAGGAAAAGGGAUUGAGAUUACAAAAUAUGAAAGAAGCUGCGAAAAGAAUAUAUUCAAGCUGAUAAGAAGAUCAUUAAGUAUAUUAAUUUUUAACUUAGAAGCAACGAAUGAUAUAAAAAAGAAUGUUUAAAUGCUCUAGCAUUCAUCUAAAAGCUAGAAUGUAGCUAAAAGUACUAUGUCAUCAAAACCAGAAUUUGAUAAACCAUAGUUUGUGCUUUGUAUGCUUUGUACACAAGGGAUUACUAAGCCCAUGAUUCUGAAAAAGAAAGUUUAAAUUUUAAAAAGUAAAGUUUAAUUUUUAAUAAUUCAGAUUCUUUUUUCAUCGAUGAACAAGAAAGUCUGUUGAUAUUUUUUUA
rnacentral:lncRNA from 1 species